rnacentral:lncRNA from 1 species
CCCAGACCUUGCAUUGGCACCCUCAGUGGCCUGCACAGGACAGAUGUCUUGAUUUAUCUCAGCAUGAAGAAACUCCUGGCUGCCUGCCUGCUAGUCAGCCUGGUUCUUGCUUGACCCACUUUUUUUUUUUUUUAAUGUUUAUUUAUUUAUUUUGAGAGAGCGCACAAGCAGGGGAGAGGCAAAGAGAGAGGGAGAGAGAAUCCCAAGCAGGCUCCACACUGUCAACAUGGAGCCCAAGGUGGGGCUUGAUCUCAUGAACCAUGAGAUCAUGACCUGAGCCAAGGGUCAGAGGCCUAACCGACUGAGCCCCCCCAGGUACCCCUUGCUUGACCCACUUUGCCAACUCUCUGGCUACCUAGCCUCUCCCUCCCCUGCCACCUCUCCUACACACACACACACACACACACACACACACCCUAGGCUACCUCCUCGCGUCACCCAUACCACACUCCUCACAGAUGUUUUCUUCCUUCACAGCACAGUCUAUAUCAGAAGAUUGAGAAAAAACUUCUCAAUAUUUUCUUCUUCUCCAUUUCCUCUUUCCUCCAACCCCUUUGUCCCCUCUUUCUUCUUCUUUUUUUAAAAAUGUUUAUUCAUUUUUGAGAGAGCAUGAGUGGGGGAGGGGUAGAGAGAAAAGGACAGAGGAGCCGAAGCAGGCUCUGCGCUGACAGCAGUGAGCCCGAUGUGGGGCUCGAACUCACAAACUGUGAGAUCAUGACCUGGAUGAAGCUGGACACUCAACUGACUGAGCCGGCCAGACAACAGGGAGAUGCAGUCAGACCACGUGCCCAGAAAGAGAACCAGGAUGUUUGUAGACAGCACGUCCUGCCUUACUCCACAGCUGUCUGAGCCCCCAGCCUUCAAGAGCCCCUGGAAGUGCUAUCCAGCUGACAGUCCCCUCCUCAGUUCACUCCCACCCCAGGCUGCUUGCUGCUCUAAGAGCCCCUUGCACAGGGACUGCUGGAUUUGCCCACUAAGACUUGAGCCCCAGGAAUGGCCACACUUGGUCUAGACUUUCUUACAUGCCCCUGCUGUCCCCAGGCUUCUCUGCUCCAGGGGCCAGCUCCUCUGCCACCAGCUCUCUGCCAGGACCACCUUCGUCUCACCAGUGCCGACUGCUCAGGACCAAAGAGUUUCUCCUUGUCCAGCAGGUGCCACAGAGCCAAGCUGAGCACCCCCCGGCCCUCCACAACUCGGCUGGAGCAGCACUUUUUCGGCCAGCCCUCAUCAGAUUUAAAUUUGAGAAUGGAUCCCUUUGGCAGCCGUGAGGAAGGUGGGUUCCUCAUAAGCCAUGGGCUGAUGGUUGGCUUCGGUCUUAAAACGCUACAUCAGACAUCUGGGAUGUAAAUUGUGAAGAGCUGCCCUGAUAGUCACUGCAGACAGAUGGUCACCACAGAGAAAAGCUGAGGCAUGGUGGUCUGGAAAUGGACUACUCCAUUCUCCUCACUGAGUCAAGCUUAAUCAGGGACGUCAUGAGAAUUUUGUGUUAUCUUUAUCUCGAGAUGAACUUCCUUUUCUUAUCUAGGAUCAAGGCUUUUCAGCCCAUUCAUUUGCCAGGUUACUUGGGCUGAUCUUUCACAGAAUAAUCAAGAGUGUCAAACGAUUUCCUUGUACAUGAAACUGUUAUAAGAGACCUCAGCUAAGACACCUGUGGCCGCUAAGGGCACACAUUCUUCGGGAUCCUGUGAUCUCAUUGGCUACCACCACACUCUUUCAGACAUGGUGAGAACUAUCUCCUCUCCUCAUGACUCCCACGUCAGAGUCAGCUUCCCUUUCGUUGCAGGGUGAGGAGAGAGAACGAAAAUCAUUUCACACAGCCUUCUCACCUUACUGCUUUCCUCCACCCGAACCUAAAGAGGGACUUCUGAAAUCUGAGAUUUCUCCUCUGUCUUAAUGAGUAGAGAUUGAUGAAAAAAUACCAACAUUGGAGGACUAAACCAUUGCAUUUCAGGAUUGGUACCUAGCAGGGCCUGGACACGAUACAGAAAUAUAUUUGCUCCAGUAAGCUCCUCUCUAACUUUGGUUUUUGUUUUUUGAACAUCUGUCCUUUUCUUGGUGGGAUGUGUUCGUUAAAACAAUUCGCCCUCGGGGUGCCUGGGUGGCUCAGUCUGUUAAACGUCUGACUUCGGCUCAAGUCAUGAUCUCGCGGUUUGUGAGUUGGAGCCCCGCGUUGGGCUCUGUGCUGACAGUUCAGAGCCUGGAGCCUGCUUCGGAUUCUGUGUCUCCCUCUCCCUGUGCCCCUCCCCUCCUCACGCUCUGACUCUCUCUGUCUUUUAAUAAUAAAUAAACGUUAAAAACAAAAUUUAAAAACA